rnacentral:pre_miRNA from 1 species
UGAAACUUGGAAACUACCGUUGGAUCGAAAAAUGGACGUCCGAGAUUCGUCCACGUUACUAUGAGUUAAAAUUUAACUCCCAAUAAAAUUUUAACUCAUGACUGAAUCCGCAAGUUAAAUUUUAACUCAUGGUGACGUGGACGAAUCUCGGACGUCUAUUUCUCGAUCCAAUGGUAGUUUCCAAGUUUCC